rnacentral:tRNA from 1 species
GGAGAGGUGGCCGAGUGGUCGAAGGCGCUUGACUCGAAAUCAAGUGUGCGUUCACGCGCACCGUGGGUUCGAAUCCCACCCUCUCCG